rnacentral:rRNA from 1 species
GACGAACCGUCCAAACGUUAUUCGGAAUCACUGGGCUUACAGAGUUCGUAGGCGGUCUGGAAAGUUGGGUGUGAAAUCCCUCGGCUCAACCGAGGAACUGCGCUUGAAACUACCAGACUCGAGGGAGAUAGAGGAAAGCGGAACUGAUGGUGGAGCGGUGAAAUGCGUUGAUAUCAUCAGGAACACCGGUGGCGAAGGCGGCUUUCUGGGUCUUACCUGACGCCGAGGAACGAAAGCCAGGGGAGCGAACGGG